CAGAGGUUCCAUUUCACGCCAUACACAAGAGCCUAAAGCCUUAGCUUUCUCCCCUACAACAACGUAACACCCCCACCGUACCCUUUCUCCCCUUCCUAACGGCGACAGCAGGUCAGCAGCUUUCAAUUGCCGGUGCACUCCUCCACGUACGUCGACGGUGUCAUGCUAUCCUCGACGGGCGACUGUGUGGUACCAAAUCACAGACCUUUUCUCCCCUUCAUAAUGGCGACAGCAGCGCUCAAUUGCGGUGUACUCCUCCACGUACGGCGACGGCGCGGUGCUCUCCUCGACGAGUGCGGUGCUCUCCUCGACGGGCGCGGUGCUCAAUCGCGAGAAACUCCUCUCCGUUCUCUUCACCUUCUCGUUCUUCCUCUGUUCCUCCGUUUCCAGGAUUAAAUUAUCGUAUCGAGAAGCUGAUGAACACAUUUGGGGUUUCAAUCUCAUUGUUGGUGGCAGCCCUUGCAUUGCAACAACCUUGCUGGGAGCAAUAGGGUAAGUAGGGGGAUGAAUUAGAGAGAAAGAUUACUUUAGAGGAGUUUGAGGAAUAUUGGUGGACAUUCUAGGAUUUGAAUUAGAUGACUAUAAGCAAUGGUUGCAAGAAUUGGAAGAUAUUGUGAAACUUAUGUUGCAACAAAUUUCUCUUAGUAUGAAUGUUGAUGAAGCGUUUUCUCUCUUGCGAUCUAAGCAAUCGUCUGCAAAUAGUGCACAAGAUCCAAAUUUGAUUCUUCGGCGUUCUCCUCCAUUGACUCAUAUAGCAAAUCAUGAUUAGGCGUACUCAAAUGCUGAUUAGGCUAGUGAUUCUACUGAUCGCCGUUCUACUACUAGUUGUUGUUUGUUUCCUGGCGAUGCUCUCAUUUUUUAGCGAGCUAAGAAGCAAAUGUUCACUGCUCGAUCAAGCAUAGAAGUUGAAUAUCGUGCUCUCGCUGACACCACUGUUGUCUUGAUUCAUUGGCUUCUCGCAGACUUGGGUGCUCUUCAGUCAUCCCCGACCAAUGUUUUUUGUGACAAUCGCAGUGCUAUUCAGAUUGCGCAUAAUGAUGCUUUUCAUGAACGCACCAAACACAUUGAGAUUGAUUGUUACUUUGUCCGGCAAUGUCUCCUUGUUGACGUUGUUCACCUCGUCGUUGUUGGAACUUUAGAUCAGACUACUGACAUCUUCACAAAGGCUUAUCAUCCUAUUUGUUUUCGGACUCUAGUAUCUAAACUCAAGAUGAUAUCUUUAGCUCCUACUUGAAUUUGAGAAAGGAUGUUAAAGAAUAAUUAAAAUCAAAUUAGUAUCAUUUAUAUUAUAUAGAAUAUGUGUAUAUUAAUUGUAGAAUCGUAUGUUUUU